rnacentral:misc_RNA from 1 species
GGUGAAGAACGCAGCGAAAUGCGAUAAGUAAUGUGAAUUGCAGAAUUCAGUGAAUCAUCGAAUCUUUGAACGCACAUUGCGCCACCUGGUAUUCCGGGGGGCAUGCCUGUCCGAGCGUCAUUACAACCCUCAAGCUCAGCUUGGUGUUGGGCCCCGCCGCCCCGGCGGGCCCUAAAGUCAGUGGCGGUGCCGUCCGGCUCCGAGCGUAGUAAUUCUUCUCGCUCUGGAGGUCCGGUCGUGUGCUCGCCAGCAACCCCCAAUUUUUUUCAGGUUGACCUCGGAUCAGGUAGGGAUACCCGCUGAACUUAAGCAUAUCAAUAAGCGGAGGA